ACGGAUCCUUCGGGAUUAGUGGCAGACGGGUGAGUAACGCGUGGGAAGCUACCUUGUGGUAGGGGACAACAGUUGGAAACGACUGCUAAUACCCUAUGAGCCCUAUGGGGGAAAGAUUUAUCGCCAUGAGAUGUGCCCGCGUUAGAUUAGCUAGUUGGUAAGGUAAUGGCUUACCAAGGCGACGAUCUAUAGCUGGUCUGAGAGGAUGAUCAGCCACACUGGGACUGAGACACGGCCCAGACUCCUACGGGAGGCAGCAUUGGGGAAUAUUGGACAAUGGGGGCAACCCUGAUCCAGCCAUG
rnacentral:rRNA from 1 species